UUACUUCAGCUUACGGUAGGUUUUCCUUAAAUAUCAAAGACUUACUAUAAUAGUUGCUAACUUGUAAUCAGGGGGUGGCGGGUUCAAGUCCUGCAGCCAGCACCA
rnacentral:tRNA from 1 species